rnacentral:lncRNA from 12 species
CGCCAAGGCCGUGGCCUCUUGCACCCUUUCCCGCGUUCCUGAGAAGACACUGGGUACAAAAGCUUAAGAAGGGUAGAAAAAAGUUGGUGGCCUGACUCAGAAACCCAGGAAUGCCACAGCCAGCUUCAAGAGCAAGCUGUCGUGUGCAGGAGCAGCAGAUGUCCUGACAUCAGAAAGCGGAUGUCACAGAUCCAAGAAGAGCUGUGUCAGGAAAGAGCCAACUGACAAGAUUUUUUUUUUUCUUUUUUUCUAAUUAACUCUGAUUCUCUGAUUAAUGCAUGCUUGUAAUAAAAAGG